CCUACGGGAGGCAGCAGUGGGGAAUAUUGGACAAUGGGCGAAAGCCUGAUCCAGCAAUGCCGCGUGUGUGAAGAAGGUCUUCGGAUUGUAAAGCACUUUCGACAGGGACGAUGAUGACGGUACCUGUAGAAGAAGCCCCGGCUAACUUCGUGCCAGCAGCCGCGGUAAU
rnacentral:rRNA from 1 species